rnacentral:rRNA from 1 species
UCGGUCUACCGCUUCGGGCUGUACAGCGCGUCAGCUAACGUGGGGAAUUGUUACGUCAGAUGUAGAAUCCCCGGGCUCAACCUGGGAACUGCAUCUGAUACUGGCAAGCUUGAGUCUCGUAGAGGGGGGUAGAAUUCCAGGUGUAGCGGUGAAAUGCGUAGAGAUCUGGAGGAAUACCGGUGGCGAAGGCGGCCCCCUGGACGAAGACUGACGCUCAGGUGCGAAAGCGUGGGGGAGCAAACAGGAUUAGAUACCCUGGUAGUCCACGCCGUAAACGAUGUCGACUUGGAGGUUGUGCCCUUGGAGGCGGUGCCUUCCGGAGCUAACGCGUUUAAGUCGGACCGCCUGGGGGAGUACGGCCCGCAAGGUUAAAAACUCAAAUGAUUUGACGGGGGGCCCGCCCCAAGCCG